AUUGAACGCUGGCGGCAUGCCCUACACACGCAAGUCGAACGGCAGCGGGGGAGAAGCUUGCUUUUCCUGCCGGCGAGUGGCGAACGGGUGAGUAAUACAUCGGAACGUGCCCUGUAGUGGGGGAUAACUAGUCGAAAGAUUAGCUAAUACCGCAUACGACCUGAGGGUGAAAGUGGGGGACCGCAAGGCCUCAUGCUAUAGGAGCGGCCGAUGUCUGAUUAGCUAGUUGGUGGGGUAAAGGCCUACCAAGGCGACGAUCAGUAGCUGGUCUGAGAGGACGAUCAGCCACACUGGGACUGAGACACGGCCCAGACUCCUACGGGAGGCAGCAGUGGGGAAUUUUGGACAAUGGGCGAAAGCCUGGUCCAGCAAUGCCGCGUGUGUGAAGAAGGCCUUCGGGUUGUAAAGCACUUUUGUCCGGAAAGAAAUGGCUCUGGUUAAUACCUGGGGUCGAUGACGGUACCGGAAGAAUAAGGACCGGCUAACUACGUGCCAGCCGCCGCCGUAA
rnacentral:rRNA from 1 species